rnacentral:lncRNA from 1 species
UUUGUGAAAUCAAGUGGGAAAUAAUUUUUUGAGAAUUUCAUAAGUUUAGCAAUAGAACUAUGGGUGAAAUUUUGAAGAUUUGUAGAUAUAAAUGUGUUCAAUAUAUGCUAUGAGUUUUAGCUUGAUCAAAGAGUUGAAUCAAGGAUUAUUGAGGUUUAAGUGGGUCAGGUUCUUAGGAAGUUAAGUUUUAGGUCUAGUGAGGGUUUCUAAGUUUUCUUGCAAUAUAUCAACUAGAUUGGAGUAAAAAUUAUGUGUGUGGAUAAUAGAUUUAUUUUUCUACAUAUGUAAGAAAUUUUAGUUUAAUUAAAUGAUUUGAUAAGGAGAUAUUGAUGCUAAAAAUUCAACAUUUAGAUUGAAGAAAGAGGCUGGCCAACAUCCAAGUACAUAUUAUGGUUGCUCUUCUUCAAAAAAAAUUGUGCUUUUAGUCAACUUAAUUGUAAAGAAGUUUAUAAAAAUUUAAUUCAAAUCAAUGGUUCAUUCAUUAAUUAUUGAGGUUUAAAUCUAUUGUAGGAAUUACUUAGAUUAUUUAGAAUUUGGUUAGAAUAUGUUUAGGAUUUGAUUAGAAUUCGGUUAAGGUUUGUUUAGAUUUGUUUAGGAUUUAGUUAGGAUUUGAUUAGGAUUUGACUAGGAUUUGAUCAAAAUUUAUUUAGGAUUUAUUUAAGAUUUGAUUAGGAUUUGAUUAAGAUUUAUUUAGGAUUUGACUAAGAUUUGGUUAAGAUUUAUUAAAGGUUUGAUUAAGAUUUGGUUAAGAUUUUUUAGGAUUUGACUAGGAUUUAUUUAUGAUUUAUUAGGAUUUGGUUAGGAUUUGACUAGGAUUUGGUUAGAAUUUGAUUAGGAUUUGGUUAAGAUUUGAUUAGAGUUUGAGUAGGAUUUAUUUAAAAUUUGAUUAGAAUUUGAUAAGGAUUUAAUUAAGAUUUCUAUUUUAAUGUUUUAUUAAGAUUUCUAUUUUAGUAUAUUUUUGAAUUCCUAUGUUAUUUCUUUGUAUUUUCUUUAAAAGGUCUUUAGAAAUACUUUGUAUUUCUUAUAUAAUUCCUUUACAAUUUUGAUUGAAUUUGAUUGAUGUUUGAAUUAUACUUGCUAAUCUUUAAUUUUAAUUUGUUGAAAAAUCUAUUAGAGUUGUUAGGACUUGUUGCAAUUUUCUUUUUAUCUUCCA